rnacentral:misc_RNA from 1 species
UUAAAAAUAUAUUCUACGAAAAACGAGUAAAUUAAUCAUGAAAUGGUAGGAAGAUAGUUAUUGUUAAAGAGAAAUCCUAAAGUGAAAGGAAAGCAAAAACAAUCUAGAUGUUUUAUUUGACAAAUUUAACUCUUAAAAAAAAAAUCAUAUGAUCAAUUCUUCAAUUUUUGCACAACCAAAUUUCAUAUUGUUACGAAUAAACUACAAUGAACAGCUAUUUUCACAUACAAAAUCUCCCAUUGGAGGUAAUGAUCAACAUAUUCGGCCAUUUACCAUACAAUGAAAUCUGCACUUUAAUCAACGAAUGUUUAUUGUUCCAAAAAGCAGUUUGCUUACAUAUGAAAUUUUCUAUUGUUCGGUUAAAGAAUGUACUUCAGAGCGAGUUGCACAGAUUCACGUUCAAAUUGAGAAAUGUACCGUUGAAUGAAGAACAUUUGAGAAUAGAUUACAUGAAAUCUUUGCUUUCCUUAAGAAUGUUGUCCACUGAAGUUGAUGUCCUUAUUGCAAAAGUGUGGAGGUACACAAAAUGGCAAAAAGCAUGGAUCAUCCUUUGCCCUCUUCUUUCCCCUGUGCUGAAGCAGUUUGAAGAAGUUAUUUCAAGUCAGACACGAGACAGCAAGAGAGUGCGUGAGUUCAAUUCAUUUACUUUGCCCAUUAUUCUAAAUGAAUUUUAUAACUUCUUAAAUGAACUUGAAAAUAACUUGGAAGACGUCCUGCAUUGUGAAACACAAGAAGAGAUACCUUUUGAAACAAAAGUCAUUGACAUUCUUACUUGUUGCCCUUCCAUAAAUUUCCAACUCGGUCUACAAAAAAAAAUCGAUAAAAAGCAUUACCAUAUUUAUGGUUAUUUUAAAUUCCCAGGUGUAAAGCCAAUUUUUCAGGUGCCAGAUGUUCACAAUUCACAACUGACAAAUGAGCAAAAAAGGAAAAAAGUACUUAAAUACUUAAGAGAAAGCAUUCAAUGGUCUAAUGCCACUUUUUUAAAUGGCCUUGUUAAUCGGAUAAUUGACCUAGAAAUGGGUCUGCUGAUAUAUAUCAUGACAAACGAGGAAAGGAACUUUCUUAUAGACAAGAUACAAGAGUUGUACGCCAAAAUAACGGAAAACCCAUAUCAGCCUAUUUUAAAGUCAAUAGAUUUAGUAUUUGACGGUGAAAACACUAUUUGGAACGAGUAUUAUUUAAGAAUAAACUCUUAUAACAUAAAUUUGACAGGGCUCACAUGCAUUAUCGAUAUACCGCAUCAUGAUACAAGGUGGCUUCCACUGUCCUUGCCUUAUCUAAGAGGACGCAGGACUAUUCCAGAGCAGUUAGAAACUUUUGAAGUGGAUUUGGGAAAAGUUGGAUCUCAUUUUUGUAUGAAUGGAGAGAGUGAACAAGAGGAUUCAAAUGUUUUAAAAGGACCAGAUAUAGAAAUGAAGCCAAAGCUUCAGAUGAUUAUCCACUACAGGGAAGGGUUAAACAGUACUCCUGCUGAAGCAAUUGUCGAUGUAGGAUAUAACGACUUGGGAGAACCGUUUCUAAAUACACACAACAUUCAGUCUGAACCAUUUGAGGAUUCUGUAGAAUCAGAAAGUGAUUAAAAUGUGGAUUCUGUUCAAUAAAAUAUUUUAAAAACGUUUAAUUGAUUGGUUAAUUUAUUCACUUAAGAAUUUCAUGUAAUUUAUGUGAGUCAAAAAACAUUCAGUGUAUGCAUAUGUUCAUCCCAUGUUUAUUCAAAAUGGAAAGAAUUGCAAUUAUAAUUUUUAUUAUCAUAUUAUGCUAUGAUUCAAUAGUCUGUCCAGUUCCGAAUAUGUCAAACAAUUUUAUUGAUUUAAAGUCACUUCCAAGAAUUGUGGCAGGAGAAUAUGCAAGAAUUGAGGAAGUCCCGUACAUUGUUAGAAUCAGUGCAGCAUCCAAGAUAUGCACAGGUGCUGUUAUUCACACUUCUUGGGUUUUGACAGCAGCCCACUGUAUAUUUACACCAUUAACACCUGAAAAAAUGAAGAUUCUUGCUGGAAUUGAUGAUAUUUCAAAUGAAAAUAAAAGCCAGAGACGGGUAGCAGAAAAAAUAGUGGUACACAAAUUGUAUGUCAAAAAUGGUGUCGGUUUUUCCGAUUUGGCACUUAUUAAGGUGAAUAAACCCUUUACAUUGAGUACAAAUGUUGCAG